GAUGAACGCUGGCGGCGUGCCUAAUACAUGCAAGUCGAACGCAUUGUGGUUGAAAUGAUAUGAAGAACUUGUUCAGAUUUGAUUUUCAACAUUGCAAUGAGUGGCGAACGGGUGAGUAACACGUGGGAAACCUACCUCUUAGCAGGGGAUAACAUUUGGAAACAAAUGCUAAUACCGUAUAAUAAUUAAAACCGCAUGGUUUUUAAGUUUAAAAGAUGGUCUUGCUAUCACUAAGAGAUGGUCCCGCGGUGUAUUAGUUAGUUGGUGAGGUAAUGGCUCACCAAGACAAUGAUACAUAGCCGAGUUGAGAGACUGACCGGCCACAAUGGGACUGAGACACGGCCCAUACUCCUACGGGAGGCAGCAGUAGGGAUCUUCCACAAUGGACGAAAGUACUGAUGGAGCAACGCCGCGUGUGUGAUGAAGGGUUUCGGCUCGUAAACGACUAGUUGUAAGAGAAGAAUGACAUUGAGAGUAAC
rnacentral:rRNA from 1 species